rnacentral:lncRNA from 13 species
UAGUGAACACGGCAUUAUUUCAAACGGGUGGCGUGCCGCAGCGCGAAGCAAUGUGAACUUAGCGCUAACAAUAAGUGACUGUGUCAGUCGAAACGAAGAUGGUCGGCGGCGGCGUCUCCGUUCCGAGGGAAAGAUUCUGAAUUGCGGAACAGUGCGAGCGCGAAGCGAUUCUGAAUAUACAUGUGCGUGCGUGCGUGCGAAGUGUGGAGUUUCUUGAACCGGCACAGCGUUUCGCGUGUAUCGCUUACAUUAGCGAAUCCCGCGCGUAUGCAAGGUAUUUUCUUCUCGACUCGGGCGCGAAUCGCGGUAUCGAAACGAACGUCAGUUUGAGUUGAGUGUUAACCUCGCAAGCCAUCGAGCUUGGACGGCGACCUCAGCCUCGUUACUUCGGGUGCCCGAUCUCAUCGUCGGCCGGUGAUAUCCGCUUAUCUCUGCAGCCUCUUGGAUUCCGGGACAUCCGAGGUUCACCGCGAAAGCGAUUCCACGGUUACGGUACGGCGACGCACGUGACCGAUAUGAACCGUGGCUGCUGCUGCUGCUGCUGUUGCUGCUGCUGCUGCAACCGAUACUGCAACAACGCAGAAUCCUCCCGGGAUGCAAGGUUUACUCUCAGCUAAACAGUGAGCCUGUGCCAUGAAGAAGCAACAAUGAAAUAAGAGAGGAGGAGGAGGAGGAGGCUCGGGGAGCAUCGGGCAGCAGCGGAUCAACUACAGUUUCAACGUAGGAUGCAAUGUAUUAUACAACUCUGCUGUUCCGCUUCGUAUCGGUGAG